GGAUGAACGCUGGCGGCGUGCUUAACACAUGCAAGUCGAACGGAAAGGCCGAAGCUUGCUUCGGUACUCGAGUGGCGAACGGGUGAGUAACACGUGGGUGAUCUGCCCUGUACUUCGGGAUAAGCUUGGGAAACUGGGUCUAAUACCGGAUAUGACAAUCUCUUGGAUGGGGUUGUGGAAAGCUUUUGCGGUAUGGGAUGAGCUCGCGGCCUAUCAGCUUGUUGGUGGGGUAAUGGCCUACCAAGGCGUCGACGGGUAGCCGGCCUGAGAGGGUGUACGGCCACAUUGGGACUGAGAUACGGCCCAGACUCCUACGGGAGGCAGCAGUGGGGAAUAUUGCACAAUGGGCGCAAGCCUGAUGCAGCGACGCCGCGUGGGGGAUGACGGCCUUCGGGUUGUAAACUCCUUUCGCAACCGACGAAGCUUUUUGUGACGGUAGGUUGAGAAGAAGCACCGGCUAACUACGUG
rnacentral:rRNA from 1 species